rnacentral:RNase_P_RNA from 1 species
CCGGGGAGCCGGGCAGCCGCGUCAUUCGCAAGAAUGCCGAGGAAAGUCCGGGCUCCACGAAACAAGGGUGGCGGGUAACGCCCGCCGGGCGAGGGAGGUUUUCAGGCCUGCCGAAGCUCAGGGAAAGUGCCACAGAGAGUAUACCGCCGAUGGAGCCAAAAGCUCACAGGCAAGGGUGAAAGGGUGCGGUAAAAGCGCACCGCGCUUCCGGUAACGGCAAGCGGCAUGGCAAACCCCACCCGGAGCAAGACCGAAUAGGGGCUGCUGGCUAUCUUCGGAUGGCGGGCCGGUUUCGGACCCAGGCAGCCCGGGUUGGUCGCUGGAGCGGCGCGGCAACGCGCCGCCAAGAGGAAUGGCUGCCACCGCGGCGUAAGGUCCCUCUCUAGGGAGACCACGCCAGGCACAGAACCCGGCUUACAGGCUCCCCGGCACA